UCUGAGACGCUUGACGGGAUUUGGUAAAGUUGGGAUUUAGAGCAUGGCGAUUAAAACGUGUGGAAAGAAAAAUUGCUAUUACAUAGAUUGAUAUAAUAGGGUGUAUCACACAGGUAAUUAGCAGUGUGUGGUAAGAAUUACAUCAGCAGCUGAAUAUGAUAUGCAUGUUGGAUUUUCGGAGAAAAUUAACAACAAAAAAUAAGCCAUAAGGGACCAUCUCAGAAGCUGGCAUAAAGUUAGUAUCAAGAUACAGUUCAACCACGUUCAGUCUUAACUACUGUAUAGCCAAACCAAGAAGAUACAAUGACAGCCUUUAGUACAGCAGAUGAUCUAGUUAUAAACCGGAAAAUUGAUGGAGAUUUUACUACCUCAACUGCAACAGAGGAAAUAGAGAAUGUGUAUGAAAUUUCAAGAUGUGCCAAAUGGAUAAUUAGCAAUGGUUAUGAAAAGGUGGCACUCCAGUUCCCAGAUGAGAUCAUGAGAGAUGCAGCUCAAGUUGCUGAAAAAUUGGGGAAUGCUACCAGCCAAAAGAUAGCUAUUCUUGGUGACACUUCAUAUGGAAGUUGCUGUGUUGAUGAAGUGGCUGCGGAGCACUUUGCUGCUGACAGCAUCAUUCACUUCGGCCACGCCUGCCUUAGCCCCACUAGCCGCCUCCCUGUCCUGUAUGUGUUUGGACGCAAAGAGAUUGACGUUCUGGACUGUGUGCAAAAGUUCUCCAAUUUGUACCCUAAAGACGAUAAUGUUGUGCUUAUUUAUGACACUGGAUAUAGUCAUGUUCUAGAUGAAAUAUCAAAUCAUCUUACUCCAGUCUAUAAAAAUCUGACCAAAUCACAGCUAGAUCUUCCUACAUCAUUCUCCAAUUCCCCUAACAGUUCUAAUCAGGAGAAGAAUAUUGAAUCAAAUGACUCACAUACUGGUGCUCUUACUUCAAAUACCACUUUUAGGAAAUGUGGAAGACUAUUCCCCAAUUUGAGUGAACAGGAUUUUAAUGAAUCUAUGAAAUUAUUUUACAUUGGAGAGGAGGGUUUGUCCUUGUCGAACUUGAUGAUGACAUUCAACAAGUGCUUGGUUAGUUGCUAUGAUCCAGCACAAAAAGAAAUAGUGAAAGAAAAUGUCGGGAGCAGUAGAGCAUUGAUGAGACGUUAUCAUAUGGUGGAGAAAGCGAAGGAUGCAAGGAUUGUGGGUAUUGUGGCAGGAACCCUAGGAGUAGUGAACUAUCUGAACAUUAUUAACAGACUCAAGGUCAUGAUCAAGAAAGCAGGGAAAAAGAGCUACACUUUCGUAGUGGGCAAGCUGAAUGUUCCAAAACUAGCUAACUUUAUGGAGAUAGAUGUGUUCGUUUUGGUGGCGUGUCCAGAGAAUAGUCUCAUAGACAGUUCAGAGUUUUACAAGCCAGUUGUAACUCCUUUUGAAAUGGAGCUGGCUUGUAACAGUAAUUUUGAGUGGGAUGGGAGCUAUGUCACCAACUUUACAGAACUUUUACCAGGAGGAUCAUCUCAUCGAGAACUUGUGGUUCCGGAUGAAGAAGUGGCAGAUGUAUCCCUAGUGACCGGAAAGAUGAGAAACAUUGGCCUGUCCAAGGAUCAACCAGAGACGAUGUCUUCUGUUGUUCUUCGUAGCGAGGCUCUGGGAGUGGCUACAAUACCAGCCGAGUCAGCAGGGGAGUACCUGUCGAACAGAUCCUGGCAAGGUCUGGACCAGCAGCUAGGAGAGACCCCUGUAGUGAAAGCUGUGGAAGGGCAGUUCGGAAUAGCUGCUGGGUAUACAGAAAACCCAGCUAAUAAAGACAUGAAAUGA
rnacentral:misc_RNA from 1 species